rnacentral:rRNA from 1 species
UACGAGUGCCUCAAGCGUUAUCCGGAAUCAUUGGGCGUAAAGAGCGUGUAGGCGGCCCCGAUAAGUCCGCCGUGAAAGUCCAGGGCUCAACCCUGGAAUGCCGGUGGAAACUGUCGGGCUGGAGUCCGGAAGAGGCGAGUGGAAUUCCUGGUGUAGCGGUGAAAUGCGCAGAUAUCAGGAGGAACACCAGUGCGGAAGGCAGCUCGCUGGGACGGUACUGACGCUGAGGACGACGAACGUGGGGAGCAAACAGGAUUAGAACCCAGUACC